rnacentral:lncRNA from 1 species
CUGAAUGUGCUUUUCAUCAGCGCUUUGGCUGCAUCCCGUGUCUCCAGCUAUGUAGGUAUUGGCUUCAUACAGUUCUAUUUUAUACACGUACGUACUCGACUACAGAUUUGAUUUCUAGGACAAUUUCUUAUUACUCGCAUUAUAUAGUGUACAUAUGCAUGGUUGUCUGCCUCGCAUUAUAUAGUGUAAAACUGAUAUAGACCAGAAGGAAAAACCAGUCGCUUCUUUUGUGUUAUCUAAAAGGAAAACCAAUCAUCUGUUUUGUGUUAUCUAUAGAGCAUUUCAAUGGAUUUGUUGUAUAUCACCAAAACAAAAUAAAUGCCCUCCUUUUAUAUGUUCAUCCCAUAUACAGGAGCCAAAACACCUCUUUCUACAGAAACAUGGAUAUAUGGUCCCUUCUAAAUAUUCUUUGGAAUAUUUUAUUUCGAGUUACCAGUUUUAUCGUCCCAUAGUGUCAAUCUUUUUUUCUUCUGAAUCCAUGACAUAAAAUGACCAGUUGCGAGAUUUUCAAAACGUAUUACAUGUUCUCUAAUUACUAUUACAUUACCACAGAAAGUUAUUUGAUUUUUUUAAUAAUGUUAUGUUUCCAAUAUGUUGGUGUUUGAUCGAUGUACAAACAGAAUUUUGAUGUGUAGUUUCCGCAGCGUUACUUAGGACUAUUCUCCUUUCAUUUUCCAUAUGGAGGGACUACAGUAGCAUUUAUAAAGCUCUUAUAAUUCCUUUACGAGCUCCUUCAAUUUGAUCGCAUGAUGACUUCGAUUUUUUCUAACAGGCAGGAACUAAAGUACUCUUGAAGAGCCUGAAAAUCAAAACGGAGACGUAGCUCUUCCAACAGUUGUAAGUUAUGAUCCUAAAUUUAAACUUGAUGGUGGUGAACUUUCAAAUGAAUUCUGGGCAGUGCAUGUUGAAAUGGAUCUUGCGAAAACUUAAGAUUUGGUGUGAAGUCACAAAAACUGCUACACUUGGUAAUGCAAAAAAACAAAAACAAAGAUUGCAUGCCCUUCAACCUUUGUAUGUGACUAACAUCCUAUCACUACAUUAAUCAUGUCAAUGCAUUGUGUAUUAACAGUUCAUUUUGUUUUUUGUUCGUAGAUUCAAAAGAUAAAUGGAUGAUUAUAUGGGUGUGUGGCAAGUAUGCUGCUGAUGGUGGUGGUGGUGGUGAUGAUGAUGAUGAUGAUGAUGAUGUCCCUGUUCAUGAUGAUGAUGUUGGACGCUUUCAAUUGUAGUUUAGUUGUAGGGAUGAUGUUCCUAGGUUAAGUUUUAGUUGAGUUGCAGGGAUGUUGAUGAUGCUUUUAGUUUGAGUUUUGUUGUCAAGAAAAUAUUUAGAUUAUGUAUCACAUUUGGAUGAUGCUCCUCAUGUAAUAUCCGCUGUUGUAAUCCAAUAAUUUUAUUUAAUAUAUGAUUUCUUCCUUGUGUGAGUA